rnacentral:ribozyme from 1 species
AGGGGCCAGGCUCGAGGACAAAAACGACCAACUUGACCAGCAUGAAGGAUAGGGAGUCCUCCGUAUGGUCAGCGCAGAGACGAUCGCAGAUAAGCAGGGAACCGCCGGGAGCCGGGCGGGGGCAGGGCCAACGCAC